rnacentral:rRNA from 1 species
GACGAACGCUGGCGGCGCGCCUAACACAUGCAAGUCGAACGAGCGAGCGAGAGCUUGCUUUCUCAAGCGAGUGGCGAACGGGUGAGUAACGCGUGAGGAACCUGCCUCAAAGAGGGGGACAACAGUUGGAAACGACUGCUAAUACCGCAUAAGCCCACGACCCGGCAUCGGGUAGAGGGAAAAGGAGCAAUCCGCUUUGAGAUGGCCUCGCGUCCGAUUAGCUAGUUGGUGAGGUAACGGCCCACCAAGGCGACGAUCGGUAGCCGGACUGAGAGGUUGAACGGCCACAUUGGGACUGCGACACGGCCCAGACUCCUACGGGAGGCAGCAGUGUGGAAUAUUGCACAAUGGGGGAAACCCUGAUGCAGCGACGCCGGGUGGAGGAAGAAGGUCUUCGGAUUGUAAACUCCUGUUGUUGAGGAAGAUAAUGACGGUACUCAACAAGGAAGUGACGGCUAACUACGUG